rnacentral:rRNA from 1 species
UGUUUUAAUUAAGCCUGUAUGAAAGGCAUCACGAGAAUCACACUGUCUCCUUUCUUUAGUCAGUGAAACUAAUCUCCCCGUGAAAAAGCGAGGAUGUCUCUACAAGACGAGAAGACCCUUUGGAGCUUAAGACAAAAUAAACACUUGCCAGCCUACACCAACCGUAUACCCCCACAACAUCAUGUUUAUAAGUCUUAGGUUGGGGCAACCGCGGAGUAAAAACAAACCUCCAAGCUGAACGGAUACUUCCUAAACAAAAAGCAACAACUUUAUGUAUCAUAAACUGACAUAAUUUGACCCAAUAUACUUUGAUUAACGAACCAAGUUACCCUAGGGAUAACAGCGCAAUCCACUUCAAGAGUUCAUAUCGAAAAGUGGGCUUACGACCUCGAUGUUGGAUCAAGGUACCCUGGUGGUGCAGCCGCUACCAAAGGUUCGUUUGUU